rfam:Anaerostipes sp. 992a contig000012, whole genome shotgun sequence.
UCUGGUGGCGAUGCGCUUAGGGGACACACCCGUUCCCAUCCCGAACACGAUGGUUAAGACCUAAGCGGCCGAUGGUACUUGGCCGGAGACGGCCCGGGAGAGUAGGUGGCUGCCAGAU